UACCAGCACCCCGAGUGGUCGGGACGUUUAUUGGGCCUAAAGCAUCCGUAGCCGGUUCUACAAGUCUUCCGUUAAAUCCAACUGCUUAACAGGUGGGUUGCGGAAGAUACUAUAGAGCUAGGAGGCGGGAGAGGCAAGCGGUACUCGAUGGGUAGGGGUAAAAUCCGUUGAUCCAUUGAAGACCACCAGUGGCGAAGGCGGCUUGCCAGAACGCGCUCGACGGUGAGGGAUGAAAGCUGGGGGAGCAAACCGG
rnacentral:rRNA from 1 species